AUUGAACGCUGGCGGCAUGCCUUACACAUGCAAGUCGAACGGUAACAGGUCUUCGGAUGCUGACGAGUGGCGAACGGGUGAGUAAUACAUCGGAACGUGCCUGGUAGUGGGGGAUAACUACACGAAAGAGUGGCUAAUCCCGCAUGAGAUCUACGGAUGAAAGCAGGGGAUCGCAAGACCUUGUGCUACUAGAGCGGCCGAUGGCAGAUUAGGUAGUUGGUGGGAUAAAAGCUUACCAAGCCGACGAUCUGUAGCUGGUCUGAGAGGACGAUCAGCCACACUGGGACUGAGACACGGCCCAGACUCCUACGGGAGGCAGCAGUGGGGAAUUUUGGACAAUGGGCGCAAGCCUGAUCCAGCAAUGCCGCGUGCAGGAUGAAGGCCUUCGGGUUGUAAACUGCUUUUGUACGGAACGAAAAGCCCUGGGUUAAUACCCUGGGGUCAUGACGGUACCGUAAGAAUAAGCACCGGCUAACUACGUGCCAGCCGCCGCCGUAACAC
rnacentral:rRNA from 1 species